rnacentral:rRNA from 1 species
AUUGAACGCUGGCGGCAGGCCUAACACAUGCAAGUCGAACGAGUGGCGGACGGGUGAGUAAUGUCUGGGAAACUGCCUGAUGGAGGGGGAUAACUACUGGAAACGGUAGCUAAUCCCGCAUACCAUCGGAUGUGCCCAGAUGGGAUUAGCUAGUAGGUGGGGUAAAGGCUCACCUAGGCGACGAUCCCUAGCUGGUCUGAGAGGAUGACCAGCAAAACGGGGACUGAGACACGGUCCAGACGCCUACGGGAGGCAGCAGUGGGGAAUAUUGCACAAUGGGCGCAAGCCUGAUGCAGCCAUGCCGCGUGUAUGAAGAAGGCCUUCGGGUUGUAAAGGACUUUCAGCGGGGAGGCGUUACCCGCAGAAGAAGCACCGGCUAACUCCGUGCCAACAGCCGCGGUAAUAC